rnacentral:rRNA from 1 species
AAUAAGAGGUCCUGCCUGCCCACUGACUAUAAGUUCAACGGCCGCGGUAUUUUAACCGUGCAAAGGUAGCGUAAUCACUUGUUCUUUAAAUAAGGACCCGUAUGAAUGGCAAGACGAGGGCUAGACUGUCUCCUUUUUCCCGUCAAUGAAAUUGAUUUUUCCGUGCAGAAGCGGAAAUCACCCCAUAAGACGAGAAGACCCUGUGGAGCUUCAGAUGAUGAAGACAGACCUUGUCAAAACCCCUAAACAAAAAGACCGAACCAAUAAGGUACUUCUUCUAUAUCUUUGGUUGGGGCGACCGCGGGGAUAAAAACAACCCCCAUGUGGAAUAGGAAGACCAACUUCCCAGAUCCAAGAGCUACCGCUCGAACUCACAGAAUUUCUGACCUAAAGAUCCGGCAACGCCGAUCAACGAACCAAGUUACCCCAGGGAUAACAGCGCAAUCCUCUUCUAGAGGCCCUAUCGACAAGAGGGUUUACGACCUCGAUGUUGGAUCAGGACAUCCUAAUGGUGCAACCGCUAUUAAGGGUUCGUUUGUUCAACGAUUAAAGUCCU